GUUGAAGUUGAUGCAGAGAAUUCUGG
rnacentral:piRNA from 1 species